CUGGGAUGCAGGCCAGGUGUGGUGGCAUAUGCCUUUUAUCUCAGCACUCAGGCAGCUGAGACAGGAGGACUGACAUGAGUUCAAGGCCAGCCUGGGCUACAUAGUGAGUUCAAGGUCAACCUAAACCAUAUAGUGAGAUCUUGUCUCAAAAAAAGAAAAGAAAAGAAAAAUAUCUGGGAUAUGGAGUCACUCACUUCCUGUAUGGAUCAAGGGCCCAGUCCUCUGGCACUAGGACUGCUGAGGCAAUUUCCAAUAGUAUUUUUAUAUUCUUUUACUUGGAUCCCUUUCCCAAUUUCUGUCCCUUUGUCUUUGACUAUCUCUCUCUAUACACACACACACACACACACACUUUUCCCAUCUUCCUUUCCUCGUUUUGUUUUUUUUUUUCCUUUGCUUGCAAGAACCUCUCCAAUAACCUUCAGCACAACAAAAGUGUAGCUUUUUAAGGAGCCUCAGUGAUCAAAGAUCUUCUAAUCCUGUGCUACUAUUGGUGUUUGCACUUACUACAGAGCCAUUUGCUUUAUAGCCACCUGCUACAUAUUUAUUGAUGACAACGUUAAGACAAGAAUAUAUGUCUCUUAAGAGGCCUGUGGGUCUGAAUAGAGGGAGAGAAACUUCAUGCAGAAGAGAGCUCAACUUGAGUUACACCAAGUCAUUACUCAGUGACUAUAUGGCCCUGGGGAAGCAGGGGAUAUGUAAGGACCAUGUGUGCUGUAUAAACCAAAGAUUGAUCACCAUCCAAAUGGACACAUGUUUCUUCCAUUGCCCAGCUGAAUUUUCUCCUGAUGUUCUCACAAAAACGUGAACAUGGGUCUCAUGGUUGAAUGAAACCAUAGGGGGUUUUCUUUUGAAGGCUGUUGAUUGACCUUACUAAAUCCAGAAAUCCCAAAUAAACGAACUGUGGCCUUUGUACCACACUAUCUUUAAAGUCUAGUAGUUAGUCCCCUUUACCUUCAAAACUUUCAGACAAGUCCAGUGCUUUGUUGAACUCAGAAUUUUGUUCUCUUUGAGAAUGUGAAGAUUUUAAAUAGCCAAAGAAUUUUCAUGUAUAAGAGCUAGCUCAUUAUACUGCAUCCUGCUUUUUGAAGAAAAUACCAAACUGUUGCCUGUACUGAUAGCAGAGCAGUUAAACAAUGACCACUAACACGUGGACUUAGCAGUCUGAAUUUGCGUUGGCCUCUGUGGUGGUUUGGUAGAAAGUUAUUGCAUGGUGAACAGCACCCUCUGCUGGAAUAAUAACAUUCUUCCUUCAGCAAAUCAAUUUUUGACUUGAGUCAUCACUUCUUCAACUCAUUAUUUGCCUUUUAUCCUACCAUUUCCUGAAUAGUUGAGAAUUUGGUCUACAGUUAUCCAAAGAGGGAAGAAUGUCACAAACUCUGAAAAGAUGAAGGAGACCUCACAAAAGUGCUUCAGCCCUUUCUUCUUGCAAAAUGUUGACAUGCACAGUUUGCAAAGAUUUCUCGGGCUGAAAUAUAUGUUCUGAGUUGUAAGCGGAGGUCAGCUUCAUGUGUAACUUCUCUCAACUUUCUUCUUGUGAAAUCGUAAAGGAAGAUCAAUAAAAGGACUUCUUUCAUAUGAAUGUAAAUGGCGUGCAAUGCUGAUGUGUUUUAUACAUGUACAUAAUAAAUAUAUUUACUUCUGCUUUCACAUUAGUAAUCUGAAAUAGUUGUACCAUUUUAUAAUUAGAAAGAGACAGCGGUGGGAGGGGUUGGAAGGGGCUGUUAUUUUUAUAGUGGAAUGUCCCUUAUAUUUAGAAAAUUUGAAGUAAUUUUGUAUUUGUGAAAAGUUACAUUCCAUCCAUUUCCUUAAAAAAAAAAAAAAAAAAAAAAAGGUAUUGUUCUUUAAAAUGUUCAUGAGCUUGGAGGAAAAAUUAUUCUAGUUGCCAGGGGAGUCUCCCAACCAGUACAUAGGUGACACCAGUUUUAUAGACUGCAGGCCACAACCAGAAAUUCCCAGUUUUUAAAAAUGUGAAAAAUAAACCCCACUUAUAUGAGCCCCUUUUUUUACACCACAGCAUUAUUUCCCACUGGGAAAAAACAAAGGUCUGCUCAGAAUGAAUUUACAGUUAUAAAAUUAGCAGUGAUGACAUUGCAAAUCAACCUCCAGACCUCCCUGGUAAUCAGAGGAAAAUCCAGUGGCUUCAUUUUGUUUUCCUAACAUGAAUUACAUGCUGUUAUUAUGAAAUGAAUGAUGUCACAGGUGGUAUUUUACUUAGCUUCCCCCACAGACUUUCUGGCCAGCCUGCAGGUCAUAAAUAUGAUGGCCCCAUCUCAGCCUUGCCGGUCACGUCACAGCACUUGGCUCCAAUUCAUUUGCCAUCUGAACCCCCAAGUCACAAAAAAGUUGCUUCCAAUGAUAUUUGCAUGGGGAGUUUAGAAUUUGGACUUUGGAUAGCUCUUGAUCGUCGCAAUACUGUAGUAGUGAUUACCCAGCCAUUCUACUCACACAUCAUUUUCUGUACAAAGUCACGUGCACAUUUAAAGAAUUAGUUAAGGCAGUACAGUUGUCUGGGGUUUUUUUCCUGUGUAAGUCUUUUUCCUUCUCCAUCUCAGGCACCAACCCUAGUCCUUUCAAAGCACUUUAUAGCUCUUAAAAUACAAAGAAAUUUGAAAACACAACCUGUCUUUAAAAGAAAUUGUCUUCUAUUAGGAGACACAGACAUUUUACUUCAUUCUGUUUUCUAUGUGCCUGGAGAGCAUAAACUGUUUUUGUUUCAUGCUGGGCUAGCCAUGAAAUGUUAAGGAUGAUAGUUGGAAACGUUCGAUCAUACAACGUGACUAUUUUUGUUACAUAGAAGACUAUCAUGUAAAUAGUGCAAUUGUGUUCUUAUGUACUGGUUUAAAAAAUAUAUUGCAACUAUAAAGAUUUUAACAGAAGGAUUGUGAAUUCCAGGAAAUUUCAUUGCAAAAUUUUGUUUGGUUUUGUUUCGUAAUAAAAAGGAG
rnacentral:lncRNA from 1 species